rnacentral:rRNA from 1 species
UCGUACGGGCCGCAAGGCCAGUGGCGCAAGGGUGAGUAAGGCGACGGUAACCAACCCCGGGAUUGGGUAUAGCCGCGGGAAACCGCGGGUAAUCCCCAGCGACGUCCGGAAGGGGCAUCCCUUCGGGACCAAAGUCCCGGCGUCCCGGGACGGGCCGUCGUGGUAUUAGGUCGUUGGCGGGGUAACGGCCCACCAAGCCUGUGAUGCCUACCGGGCGUGCGAGCGUGGCCCGGCACACUGGGACUGAGACACUGCCCAGACUCCUACGGGAGGCUGCAGUCGAGAAUCUUCGGCAAUGGGCGCAAGCCUGACCGAGCGACGCCGCGUGGAGGACGAAGGCCUUCGGGUUGUAAACUCCUGUCGAGGGGGAAGAAGGGGCGGCAACGCCCUUGACUGAUCCCUGGAGGAAGCACGGGCUAAGUUCGUGCCAGCAGCCGCGGUAGACGAACCGUGCGAACGUUAUUCGGAAUCACUGGGCUUAAAGCGCGUGUAGGCGGGGCGGCCCGUCGGUCGCUGAAAGCCCCCGGCUCAACCGGGGAAGCGGCGCCGAGACGACCGCCCUGGAGGGACGUAGGGGGACCUGGAACUUCCGGUGGAGCGGUGAAAUGCGUUGAGAUCGGAAGGAACGCCCGUGGCGAAAGCGAGGUCCUGGACGUCUGCUGACGCUGAGACGCGAAAGCCAGGGGAGCGAACGGGAUUAGAUACCCCGGUAGUCCUGGCCGUAAACGAUGGGCACUGGGUAGGGGGCUCGCCGAUGGGCUCCCUGCCGCA